rnacentral:lncRNA from 1 species
AUUGUUAAUCAAAGGGGAAGGAGUGAAGACAGCAAGACUAGCUAGUAAAAAUAAAAUCAAUUAUGUUAGCAACUUUAGGAGAAAGUCAAGUUCAUGAGACUUUAUAGAGACAAAAUAGGGAGAAGCAGCUAGCAGAACUGCAGUGUUUUGCAUUUUUGUGACCACAAAUGUUAGGUGAGCCUGGAACACAGUGAAAUUGACCAAGUAGGGUUAAGGUUUGAGAAGGGCUAAACUGUUGAAAUGCUAUUCCUGGUCACUCUGACAACUGGGUCUCUUUCCCAUGCUGAAGGCA